AUCCAAACCCUCAUUUGCUCCACCAUCUCCAAUCUCAAACAUUAUCAUCAUCUAAUCGAGUUAAGAGAGGGAGGUUAAACAAUGUAUACUAGGCGAUUGAUGAAACACCUAAGAGAACUAAAGUUUGGGAAAAUUCUUUGCAAUAUGCAGGAAAUAAGUGUUGGAUUAGUGUUUAAGUCCAUAACUAUUUUGGUAUGUACUUGACCCGAUGGUGCAUGGUCCUUUUGGGUUGCCUUCACCAAAGCAACUAGAUAAGGAUAAGGACUAAAACCCUAAUCUUUACACCUAUAUAUAAACCCCCUAAGGCUUAUGAAUUCGGCCAACCCUUACCAAGAAGUCAUAAGGACGAAUUCCUACCUCUCUCCUCUCUCUUUAUACCUUCUCCACUUGCUCUUGGUGUUUGUAAGCCAUUAGAGGAGUGACACUUGUGACUCUAAGCCUUCCAAAGCUAAUUCAAGGAGGAAUUAGGAUUGUUAUUGCUACAUAACAAUCAAGGUAAUAUCAUAAACCUAAUUAUAUGUUAAUAUUGAUUUCCAUAUGUUAGAAUUAGGGUUUAUAGUCUUGGAUUCAAAGCAUGUACAAUAGAGAAACCUAGAUCCAAGCAUUAGGGUUUGUAUGAGCACAUAGGAUGUCUUAUGACCAAAACCCAUCAGUGGUAUCAGAGCCUAGCUUGGUUUCAAUUGUAUUGAUGCAUUCUAUAACUAGAAAAUUCGUUUUUUGGGUUUCUGGAGGCUGGACUCGCCGAGUCCAUGGAUGAACUCGCCGAGUCCAUGCAGACUCGACGAGUCAACUCGUCAGAUAGAGCUUAUCUCGGGAUUUCUUGUUGUUUUUGCAUUGGGAUAGUUACCUUAUCAUGUUAGAUCAAUAUUAAUCCGAUUAUAUGAUAUAUUUGACUAUAUUUUUGAUCUAAUUGAAGAUAUUUAUCAAUUAAUAAGAUAAUUGUUUCCUUAUAAGAUAAUUGAUUAAUUAUUUUGAGUAAAUUGAUAAAUUGUUUUGCAAGAAAUCAUUAAACAAAUCAAAUAUGGAUAAUUAUGUAAUUAAAUGUUAGUUUAGAUUAUUUGUUAUUUGAUCCUUGUUGUUAUGAAAAGUUUCAUAUUUUGCCCUUUAGGUUUUAUAGUUUAAAUUUGAACCCAAAAGUUUUGUUGUUUUGAAAUUUAAAUAGUUGAAACCCUAAUGUUUUGAAAAAGGUUUCAAAACUUGCCCUCAAGUUUUGGAAUUUAAAUUUUGAUUAAAUGGUUUAAUUUUGAUGUAUAUUUAAAUUCUAAACCCUAAUGUGUUGAAAUGUUUCAAAACUUGCCCUCAAGUUUUGGAAUUUAAAAGUUGAUUAAAAGUUUAAUUAGGAAUGUUAAAUUCUAAAACUCUAGUAUAGUUUUGAAAAAGUUCAAAUCACACCCUUAUGGUUUUAUUAAUUAAUUAAGGUGUAUAAUUAAAAGAGGUUUAAUAAAUCCAUAAAAGUUUAGGUUUACAAUUUAAUUGAAUUAAAAGUAUAAUUGUUAAAUUAGACCACCUAGUAUUUUAAAAGUAUAAAAUACACCCUAUACUAUAUAUAACAUUAAAAGUCUAACAUUAUAUAUAUGUAUGAGUAAAAGUCAGUCUUACCGUUAGUAGGCCUCAUUCACGAAGCUGGUCUAUAAGGGGUGUUUAAGGAAAUUGCCUAUAAAAUGGCGAUUGAAUGGGUAUCCACUCUUACCCACCGCACUCUUGACUAGUGGAGGGUCGUUAGCCGAACGGGUAGGAUAGGACGAAACCUUCCAUUAUAAGUAUAAUGAAUUAUUAAAGUAACUAAAUGUUUUCAUAAAAUUCCCAAUCUUAGUUACUUAGGCAAAAGUGAAUUGAUGCAAUUCCAUGAAAUUACACUUUGUGCCCUUGCGAAGACGUUAGUGGAGCGUGUGUGGUUUACCGGCACACUAAAUGGUUCUAAGCAAAGGUAGCAAAGGGUGACUCAAUGUUUGUCAUAGUUCGGUGGAGCGUGUGUGGUUUACCGGCACAUCGAAUAGGUGACUGUAACAUGUGAGGGCACCAUGUAAGUUUGCAUGGUUAUUCACACCCGCUUUGUGAUCCUCGGCAUCCCAGUCACAAACAAGAGGGGCAUAUCGAGAUUUAAACAUGCCAUUGAAAGUUCAAUGAAUCUCAAAGGAUCUAGGAGUUUUCAUAGAUUUAAAACUUAAAUUUCUUUUUCGUUUUUCAUGGUGGAAAUUAGUGAAUCGUCAUUCACUUACCUUCAAAUAUUCUGCAAUUAGGGUUACGGCAUCCCUCUCCCGAGUUGUAGAAUAUUGUGUUGGGUCCUAGCCUUAGUAUCUCAUUUGGGUGAUUUACUAAGGACUCAAUCAAUCAACUAACUUGAAUUCGUUUUCUCCCGUUUUGUAGAUGUCAAAGUUCGACAACUAUGGUCUUCCCAAAUCCCGUGGAACAAGCAUUCCACAUGAAGAUGAUAUUCCACGAUUCGAUCGAGGAACAAGAAAUCAUGCUUCACUUCCUCCUCCUCCUCCAAUUAUUCUCCCUAACCCACAAGUUCAAAGGCUUGAAAAGUUCAAGAUCACUCAAGCCCUUUUGGCAAGUAAACAUAAAGAAGGAAAGUCGGUGUGUGCACACGUCCUAGGGAUGAAGUCACACAUUGAUAGGUUAAGAAUGUUGGGAUCCGUUGUCUGUGAGGAAAUGGCUGUUGAUUGGGUUCUUCAGUCACUUCCUAACUCAUAUAGUGAGUUCGUAAGAGAGUACUAUAUGAUGAACCGCGACGUGACCCUUAUAGAUCUCACCUAUAUGCUUAUUGCUGCUGAAUCAGCAAUGGUUUGGCGCAAUAGAAAAGCAAAGUUGAUUGGUGAAUCUGCCUUCAAGACCUCUAUGGAUAUAGACAAUGGCAACGAAAGACAUGCUAUGAUCGAAAAGUUUGAUCAUAAGAGAAAGGCAAUGUCUGAAGUAGUUCCAUGUCAUGUUCCAAAAGAGUCAAUUUGCUUUUAUUGCCAAGAGAAAGGGCAUUGGAGACGAAGCUGCCCCAUUUACCUAAGAGAUCUAAGAGAUGGGAGAGUCGAAACGUAUGGCUCUAAUAUAGGUAAAAUCCAUUAACUAACUCUUUUAAGCUUCUAUUCUAGAUUCUUAAUACAUAAUGUGAUAAGAUUACAAUUGAUGUUUUGUAGGAUCGAAGAAAAGAAAGGAAGCUUAAGGGAAGAAGUGAGCAGAAUCUAACCGUGAAGGAAUGGAUUUCGAUCGCAUUUCUCGAAGAUUAGAUUCUUGAGCUACUACUUAGAGUUAGAAUUAGAUUGCUAAGAAAGAUGUAUUAGCAUAGUUUUUCAAUGAAUUGCAUUGUAAGGACAAAUUUUUUCCGCAAUAAAAUAAAUUUUGAUUUUAUAUUAUUUAUUUAUCCUUGCAAUGGCGUAUAUGAAAAAUUGAUGUUUGAAUGUUUCUAUUAUUAGCAAUAAUGGAUUUGGUUCUUAUUAUGUUAUUUAUGGAAAGUCGAGAAUUUACCAAAUAGGGAGAGUUUCUCAUCGCCCAAGUUUCAAUUGGACAGAAACUUGGAAUCAUGCAACUUGGUUGCACGAUGAAUGAGAAAUUUCAUAUUUGGAAAUUAGACUAAUUCAUUGACAAAGUGUCAAGUGAAGGACUAGGAGAUCGAGUACACAAAGUUGCGUGUUGAUCAAGUCCACCAUAAGAGUAACAAAGAUAUUCGUCAUGAUUUACUAAAGGUUUAGUAAAUAUGAUUAUACUUACAAGAUUAAGUGUAAUUCUGAAUUGAUUGAAAAAGUUUAAAUCAAUAGCAGAACGAAUAAGAAGAAUCAAGUAGGCAGAAAGAUAAAAGUUUCUCCAUUCUAAGAAGAAGGGAGAGUACCUUUUAUGCUUUAUGAUAGGUCUUAAUGAUUAAGAACCAUAUCUCAAUUGAUCCUCUAAGUGAGUCUUAGUACAAUUGUAUGUCUAAGAAGAGGAAUCAAGAAUUGAAGAAAUGGUUAAAUCAAGAAGUCAAUCAUACUUCGUUCCAAAACAAGUCUUAGAGUUAAGAUUGUGACAUUGAGUGAUAAGUAUUAAGAAGGUUUAUAACAUUCAUCAAAUGUGGAAAGUUGUGAUGUCUUGGAUAAGACAAAGACCAACUAGGACCAAUUUAUGAAGUGUUUUGAUAAAAGCUACACUAACUCUUGAAUAUUUGUUUGUCAAGAAAUGUUUAUUGACAAGAGAAUCUUAUAUGUCAAGGAGUCAGUGGGAGUCUUAAUGGUCUUGAAAGGUUUCAAGAACAAAUCAAAUAAACCUUAUCGAUCAUCACUAGCACACGAGUUGAGGUUUACAACCUAUCGUGUUGACAUUAUUUUGUUUCUGUGCCAAUCCAAUCGAGUUAAUUAUGCAUGUGAGUUCUAUGAGUUCUCAUUUUGAACGCAUAAAAGGCAAAGCACCUUAAUCAAUGAAAGGUACAUUGAUAGGAAAGGGUGAGCUGCUUAACUACUUGGAAGACAUGGUGGGCAGCUGUGCUACCAUAAGGCAAGAAAUCAAGAUUAAGAAAGUUCGGUCCAUAUGAGUUUGAAUUUGUCGUAAACUUUGGUUUUAACAAAUUCACAUGGAUAGGAACACAUACACCGUUUAAAUCUAAGUGUCAUAAGAUUUCCUCCUUCAUGAAAAUGAUUGUGAGGAAAUGCUUUCACUAAGAAAGAUUUUAAGAAGAUAGUGAUUGUAAAAUUGCAUUCUCGAAUUCGAUUAUGGUUACGGUAUCCCUUUCCAUAAUUUGAAUUGUGAGGUUUGGCAAUUAGUCUUAAUUGUUUAGACACACAUAUGAACUAUCGAAGGCAAAGGUGUAUAAGUUCAAGAAGCCUUGAUAAAAGAUUAUCAAAGCACUAAGUAUUAGAAACAUGAACUUAAGAAAUUCAAUAAGUAUUGUUUUUCUGAAAGUUAAGAUGUUUAUGAAUACAUGUCGAAGCUAGUGGGAGCAUAAGUGUUAUGUUUUAUAAUAAUCAUCAUGAUAGUGGGAGCAUAAAUGUUAUGAUUGUAUGAUUAUUAAGGAAAGUAUUGCAAGUUGGCAAUAUUAAUUAUAGAAAACAAGAGUCAUACUUUGCAAAGUUGUAAGGAUGGAAUAGUUGUUUUGCUAUAAUUAAGGGAGAGAAUAUUAUGCUUCAUUUCAAAUCUAAAGGCUUAGGUUGAGAAAUGUUAAUAAAUUUAGUCAAAGGUACAUAGUGUGUUCUUAAAAUUUCGAUUAUGAUUACGGCAUCCCUCUUCACAAUUCGAAUUUUGAGAACAUAGCAAAUAAAACAUUAUGCGUCGUGUCCCAUACGCUUCGGGUAUAGGAUCGAUUGCAAAUGCUUUAAUGUUUGACCAUUCUAAAAUUUUCCAAAUGUCGAGCGCAUUUAGAGGGAAAAGGGACUAGAAUUGGUUUUGACUAAAAUAAUUAAACAACUAUCAAAGGACAAUCCAAGUUCGACGAGGAUUGGUCGCUUGUGAGUAGUUGGAAGUAUAGUAUUGGAAAAUAUGGAAAUGUUUCCAUAUUGGAUGGACCAUAUCGACAUCAUUACGAAUAGAUAAGAUUCUAUUAAGAAUGAGUUGUCAUAUGGAACAUAUGGAAGUGUGUCCAUAUUGGGAAUUGAAUAUUGAGAAAUCUAUGACUAGAUUAGAAACUUCUAUGCAAAAGGAUGUUCAAAGAAUGUACUUUGAGUGAGAGACAUCACGUCUAUGGAAUUGUCUUGUAACAAUCUCCGAUAGAGGACUUUGUAAUAUCAUUGGCAAUAGUCUUUGUGACUUUGGUGCAGUGACAUUACGAAAGGAUAGUUGCAUAGAAUGUUAGAAUCUAGCAUAUUCUAUAAGUAGCAAGAAUUUGAUAUUCUUUGACUUAUGAAAAACGGAUUUGGAGUUGUGAAAUGAGAAGGAUUGGAAAUGUGUUCAAUGUGAUCUAUUUCACAAAGUAAGAACCAUAGGUAAACAUUGUGUGCAUGCUAGGAGCAUGGGACAAGUGUUGGAAUUCAAGUAAGAAGUUGAUUACCCGAAACGACAAAUAAUGAGUAAUCAAUAUGGUGAUAAAUAAAAGGUGUUUUAUUUAUACUCAAAGGUUUGAGGCCAUAUGGGAUUAGUAUUAUUCUUGUGUUUCACAUUUGCAUGUUUUGACUUCCAGAAUAAUUGAGUUUAUUAAGAAUAAUCGAAUUAUUCAAACGGGCCACAGUCGUUCAUAUGUUGGAAGUAGAUAUGAAUGAAGACUGUCGUGAAUUGGUGUGUGGAUUGUCUAAAAGAGUAUUAGACAUAAGCAAAUGUUUGCUGCAACGUUCAUGAGUGCUUAUGAAUGUGAUUUGAGCAUUGGAUUAGACCCACGCUCACUUGGAUCACUCCAUGGAUUGUAUCACGAGUGAUUGGUGAGACGAUAACAUCUUAUAUUCUUGAAACCGAGAUGUGUGAGUUGUAUCUUGCAAAUCGGUUGCACAUUGAUAAUAUGUAAACGCACUAGUAACUUGGUGUUAUAAAACAUAUUGUUGUGUGUGAUUCGGUGCGUGAGUACAAGCAAGCAUUGUAUCAAAGUUUAUCCGUUCCUUUUAUUCAAAGUAGGAUAAAAGCGAUAUCUUUGGGCCCCUCGAUGGUUUAGUGAUGACAAACGUAAAUGCUCGGCCGGGCUAGGGCUAAUUUGAUUUGUUCAAUUAGUCUGUCGUCAUAAAUCAGAAAUCGAGAUAUAGUACAAAGAGAAUGAUUUGAAAUCAUAUCUCAUAUGAUAUCUAGAAUGGAGGAAUAUAUGAUCCCUUAUCUAAGGACACGCGUAUCUGAUAUGAUCAGAGUUGACAGCGGCUUUGGAAAGCUACGAUUGCAGAUCAGGAUCUGAAGUCAUACGUAGACUAGUUAUUAGACUUAUCCAAGUGGGAGACUGUUGGAUUAGUGUUUAAGUCCAUAACUAUUUUGGUAUGUACUUGACCCGAUGGUGCAUGGUCCUUUUGGGUUGCCUUCACCAAAGCAACUAGAUAAGGAUAAGGACUAAAACCCUAAUCUUUACACCUAUAUAUAAACCCCCUAAGGCUUAUGAAUUCGGCCAAACCUUCCCAAGAAGUCAUAAGGACGAAUUCCUACCUCUCUCCUCUCUCUUUAUACCUUCUCCACUUGCUCUUGGUGUUUGUAAGCCAUUAGAGGAGUGACACUUGUGACUCUAAGCCUUCCAAAGCUAAUUCAAGGAGGAAUUAGGAUUGUUAUUGCUACAUAACAAUCAAGGUAAUAUCAUAAACCUAAUUAUAUGUUAAUAUUGAUUUCCAUAUGUUAGAACUAGGGUUUAUAGUCUUGGAUUCAAAGCAUGUACAAUAGAGAAACCUAGAUCCAAGCAUUAGGGUUUGUAUGAGCACAUAGGAUGUUUUAUGACCAAAACCCAUCAAUAAGAUCCACAUAUAGCCUCGUAAAAUCAAUGGAAUGGACCAUUCCAUCCCUUACAUGAGAGAAAGUGAGGGAGGGAGAAGUGUCAACAGGGAUUAGUGGUGAUAGAGUGCAGAUC
rnacentral:lncRNA from 1 species